UCCUGUGCAAUAGGGAUUCAUCGCCCAUCCGAUUUAACUCCUUUUAGCUUGCCUUAUGUGUCAUAAAAAAUUAGAAGAUAUGUCCUUCUGAAGUCCGGAUCCAAAACUAUCACCCACUAUCUGUAGCCAGUUGUGAGGGCUAAUCUUACUGAGUAGUCAGGGAUUAAUUGGACGAGUAAGCAUACAGUAUUCUCAACAGUCCGUAAUGAACCAAGUACUGAGUAUUCCUUGACAAAGUACGAUUUGCUGACUAUAAGCCAAUUGAGGUCAUAAUACAAUGAAAACAGUAAACAUUGUUAUUGUCAGAAGAAAAAGAUGACUGCUGUUGUCAUCCGAGGAGAUUUGAUCAAAUAAAAGAAGGGUGCAAUUUACCAAUUGUUUUAUGAAUAUAAUAGACAGUUUGAAAGUUCUUUGUUAAUUCAUAUCACCGAUAAGAAAACAUAGUUUUUCACUGUAUAUAUCUUCAUUGUUGGCACAAUUAAAACAGAAUUCAAGAGGCUAACUUGUCUGGCUUAUAUCCCAAGAACAAAGAACUUUCUCAAAUACAAUUUCUGUUCUCUGCUGUUAAGAUCAUUUUUUUAAACAGAGCGUCACACACUUCCUUAAUCGAAUUGGUGUAUAAGAUAUACCAGUCAGGCUCAGGAUAUCUUAGCAGCCAUGCCAAUAUUUUAUUCGAGAUCAUCCAGUGGUGUUCUGUUUUUUCAACAUACUAUAUAUAAUGUGUUUCUAUGUGAAUAGAUGGAUGAAAUGUCUCAGACACCUAUACGACCAAUACUGUUUCCAAUAAACAUUACUCUUUGAAGGCCUACUUUCUUUGUGGUAUCUUAACUUUAGCUAAUUUCUGACCUUUAUUGGUCCUAGAUAGUAAUGCAUGAGCAGGACUCAACCUUUACAGAUCCUAGGUAGUAGUGCAUGAACUGGACUCAAGGGCAAAUUAGGUGACGAGUUCUGGAAUUCAAAGAAAGGCCUCCUUCUCUUUGUAAGGUGUAUUAUUUCAACUACUACUCCACCCCCUUGACGUGACCUUCUUAAGAACUGUCACAUGCUUCCACUCAUCCUAUGCAGAGCAAUGAUCAUAGCAGCUUGGAGUAAUGGAGUAAUAUUAUAUUCUCCAGCUGGCCCCAGUCACAUGACUCGUGACAUUUCUGUACUUUCCAAUCAAUCAACUAGACUGAAUACUGAUCUAGUAGAAUCCUGGAUGACAAAAACAAUAACACUUCAACAAGUCACCGUGCUCAUUUUACAUCUUAAAAGAUUGAAUGUUCUCUUCAAGUUAAUUGUUAGUACAUUCAUUUUGCACAAUAAACCAGAA